rnacentral:rRNA from 1 species
AUUGAACGCUGGCGGCAUGCUUUACACAUGCAAGUCGAACGGCAGCGGGUCCUUCGGGAUGCCGGCGAGUGGCGAACGGGUGAGUAAUAUAUCGGAACGUGUCCUGAAGUGGGGGAUAACGCAUCGAAAGAUGCGCUAAUACCGCAUAAUCUCUGAGGAGAAAAGUGGGGGAUCGAAAGACCUCAUGCUUUUGGAGCGGCCGAUGUCUGAUUAGCUAGUUGGUAGGGUAAUGGCCUACCAAGGCGACGAUCAGUAGUUGGUCUGAGAGGAUGGCCAGCCACACUGGGACUGAGACACGGCCCAGACUCCUACGGGAGGCAGCAGUGGGGAAUUUUGGACAAUGGGCGCAAGCCUGAUCCAGCAAUGCCGCGUGAGUGAAGAAGGCCUCGGUUGUAAGACUCUUUCUAGUUGUAGAAGAAAAAUUAAGUAGACUAAUAACUUAGUCAAUUCUAUGACAGUAUACUAACAGAAGAAGACACCGG